ACGGCUCAGGGGUAGAGCAUCUGCCUUGCAAGCAGCAGGUCCCACGUUCAAUCCCCGGCAUCUCUA